UCCUUUUUAAAAAAGUAAAAGAAACAUGUAAGUAACAUCUUUCUAUUUUGUUUUGAAAAUCGUUCUAAGAAAUCUCAUCUUUGCCUAUACUGUUUAUAGGGUUUAUGUAGGUUUAACCUAAGACAUUUUUAUAUGUUGAAAUGUUUAAAAAUACAUGAGUAUAAAGGUUGGAUAAAGUUAAAGGGACAGUUAUGAAUACCUCUGGGACGCCAGUUUUGUAAACCAUAUUCACUCAACCAUAGAAGAAUGUAAGUGACCAAAAGUGUCAUCUUUAUGAAGAGAAAGAUGAUGGGUAUGCUGUAACCUUUUAAGUGCUACAUAUAAAAACAAACAUCACAAGGGGCUUCGUGACGUCUUCAACAUUUAAGUUCUGGCACAUUCUCAAUCUGAUCCCACAAGAAUAAUUUAUAGAUGUUAAAAACAGUAUGCUAAGCAAAAGAAGGCAGACACAAAAGACCGCAUAUUACAUAAUUCCAUUCAUAUGAAAGUCCAGAAUAGGAAAAUCCAUAGAGAUAAAAACUAGAUUAGUAGUUACUCAAGGCUGAGAGAGAGGGGGAACAGGGGUGACAGCUGUUUCUUUUUGAGGUGAUAAAAAUGGCUGUGAUGCAUGUAUCUGUGAAUAUAGUGAAAACCACUGAAUUGUACACUUGAAAAGGUUGAAUAGUUUGGUAUGUGAAUUCUAUUUUAAUAAAGCUAUUUAUAAAAACAAUUUAUAGCCAUUUCAGAAAAUGUACUUGUUUAUAUUUUUGAUCAUACAAGUUACCUCUAUAGUAUCCGGGAGGAUGAAGUCCUCUGCUUGCUGUAGUGACACAUGGAAGCUAUGCUUUCCCUGGAGACUGUCAUUAUCUUUCUGUAACCUCACCAGCUCUUCUGAAACCUGUUCCCGUGACUGCAUCAGCACUGCCUAAAAUAGAAAUAGAUACUAAUCACAGCCAGAAAGGUAAAUCUGGUUUGGUGAUAGAUACACCAGAGAAAAACAAAGCCAAAGUAAAUAAGGGCUAAGGACAGAGGGGCAUUUAAUAAAGUUCUGCUAGACUUACAAAAAGCAGCUCACAGACUUUUUGAUUUGCAGCCUUUACACAUACUGGGGGGGGGGGGGCAGGUGAUGAAGCAAGUAUCUGAGGUCAUUCUCCACUGUUUCUACCAACAGGUUAAAAAUAAUGAAUCCCUUUCCUCCAUAUCCCUGUACUAUAGAAGGACCAGGAUCUCUAGCUCAAUGGAAGUGGCGGAUAUAAUCAAGACCCAUAUCAGAUAGACUAUGUACUCCCACACAACCGUUUCCUCAUGGCAAAUAUUCAACGGGAAAUAUGGAGAAACAAAAAGCAGUGUCUUCACCUUCCAUUACAUACACAUCUGGUCAAGCUCAGGAUCACUGAGAAUGGCCCAGCAGCCCCAAAUACUGGAAGUCAUCAAGAGGAUCCAUGCUCAGGAAACACAGAGCACCAAGAAGCUUGUUCUGACAAUGGGCCAUGUGCCUACUUCUUCUGCUUGCUGAUGUCUACUGCUCUGUGCCAGGCGUUUUGCUGCCCAUGGUAAAUGCAGAGAUAAAAGACAGGGAGACUUUGCCCUGGGGAAGCUGACGGUCCAGCAGAGGAAAAAAGACAGAAACCAACAGCUACCCUACAGUACUAUAAAGCGCUGUGACAGAGAGUUUGCUGUUGGUAGCAACAUUGAUGUCAUACUGAAACUACUCUGUCCCCACCUUAAGCAAGUCCUCAAAGGUAACAUCACCAAUAACGGAACCACCCAUCAUUAAUGUGAUACAUGAUGUUAUAAACCUCUCAUUGAAUCAUUUCAUUUAUGUAGUAUUCUGGCCAAAAUGUCUAACCUAAAUCAAAUUAUAAGGAAAUAAUCAGACAAAUGCACUCUACAAGACAAUUAGCCUAAAAAACAUUCUAUAAGGAAACUGGCCUGGACUCUUCAAAAAUGAUAAUGUCAUAAAAGCAAAAAAAAAAAAAAAAAGUGGGGGACUGUUCUAGAUUAAAGAAGACUAAAGUGACGUGAAAACAAGAUGGAAUAUGUGAUUCUUGACUGGUUUCUGUACCAAAAAAUAAGAAUACAAAAAUA